ensembl:lncRNA
CAAAUAUUCAUCCGAAAGUCAAAGAGCACCAACAACCACCACCCCAACCCUUCCCACAGACCCAGUCCCCCUCCCCUGGCAAAACAGGCAUAAAAAUACAUCACAGACACACAAAUCAUAAGCACAGUAAUGCCUAAAACACACACAAAAAAGGAUACAAAACCAAAAAGCCGAAGUAACUCAAAAAAAUCGAUAAAUAAUAUUAAUAAUAAAAAUAAUAACAUGGUGGACAGAUCAUUGGUGGUUGGCUGCAUAACAGCCACCAUUAUGGUGUGUUUGCGAUAAUGCCAUAACAAGAGAGUCAUAGAGGCCCCAAAGUGGAUGUUUGAGUUAAUAGUUACAAUUGAGAAUAGAUAUGUCCUAUAUAUACUAGGCAGGGUAGAAGGAGAAUAGAAUAGAAAACCAAAUCAUGGGAGUCUUUGUAAGUCAGUAAAGUAUUGUAUUAAAGAGGACGCCAGUGCUUGAAUAAUCAACUUGUGUCCAUGCUUAGAAUAAAUGUGACUUACUCUAAUUUUAUAUAUUCUUUCUUUACAGGAAUCCAUCUAAGUCAGUGUUUCCUUUGAUAAACAGUCGCACCAUAAAGAUGAAUGCCUCCUUCCGGGCCUACAGCUGUGCAACAAAUCAAGAACAACCAGUGUCUUUUGGUGGGUACAGGGGUACGCUGCCGUAUUAGCAGUCCCCAAGAAUGCAGAAGAAUUUGGCCCAAUCCCAUUUUAACCCCUUACCCCUUCCCCUUACCCCUUCAAAACAAGGAGGAGGGGUAAGGGGAAGGGGUAAGGGGUAGAAAUGGGAUUGGGCCUUUGAGUCAUUGGUUUGAAUGAAAAAUCUUUCGGUGUCCAGGUUCCCUUUGAUCAUAUAAAGUGUAGAGGGGAAACAGCGGAUGGUAAGUGCCAUUUCAUGUUGAAUUUGUCAUUUACUUCCUGUACUUCACAGUAAAGUAUGAACGCUUCCAUUCCUGCAUGACCAGACUUCAGAGUGUUGGCUGGUCGGUAUAGGCCACAGAAAUGUACAGACCCCCUGAUGCCACUGCAGUGUUCGGACACAGUGAGACACCUUCAGGACGCGGAGUUCCUAAGAAAUAGGAAGCGAGGGAGCGAAGGGACGUCACAAGGUGUGCGUGCCCCUUUUCCUGCCCUGUUGACGCAGGGCGCCGUGGCGCCUCGGAAGGGCCUUGGGAUGAAUCACGCCUGAACCUCAUUGUUCUUCCUGUCAAACAGGCCCGUGUGAACAGGGGAAUCG